GCACACACUACUACAUGUAUACUGCCUAUUGUUACUCUACACUGUCCAUUUCUUGUUAUAUGUUUAUUAUUAAUAUUGCCAUUGGCUCUAAUCUACUGUUACAUUACUGCAGUAAUGAUAUUAUUUUAAGUUAUUAUUAUCCACACAAUAGACAAUAGCUCUUUGUCAUGAAGUGGGCCAGCAUUACAGGCUCUGCCCCCCCCAGUGUUUGUUAUUCCCAGCUGAUUUCAGGUCCUCAAUGUCAUAUGGUAAUAACAGGUUCUUCUCUUUUGGUAUUUCAGUAAAUGACAAGAACUCAUCACAAUACAUACCAGUGUUGUCCCAGUCUGGACUGACGCUACCAGUCCUGAUUCCUGUACUGAUCCCAGUGCUGUUAAUGUGGUAAGAUUGUAAGUAAUGGACUGGGUGUGGCCUUUUAAUAAUAAUUAUAUUAAUAUAUACAUGUAAACUAUUCCAAGUUUAUACUGUUGAUACUGUCAUUAGUGAUUAAUAAUACUAAUGGAGGGACUGAGGCAGCUGCUGCUGCUGCUGGUAGUGGAUUUGAACAAGUAGCAGAUCAAAUAAUAAACCUGGAAACCAACCUGGCUAAAGUAUGCACACACGGCGGUAGCCUAUAUGUAGGAU
rnacentral:lncRNA from 1 species